GACGAACGCUGGCGGCGUGCUUAACACAUGCAAGUCGAGCGGUAAGGCCCCUUCGGGGGUACACGAGCGGCGAACGGGUGAGUAACACGUGAGCAAUCUGCCCUUCACAUCGGGAUAACCUCGGGAAACCGAAGCUAAUACCGGAUACGACCAUCGAAGGCAUCUUCUGAUGGUGGAAAGUUCCGGCGGUGAGGGAUGAGCUCGCGGCCUAUCAGCUUGUUGGUGGGGUAAUGGCCUACCAAGGCGACGACGGGUAGCCGGCCUGAGAGGGUGACCGGCCACACUGGGACUGAGACACGGCCCAGACUCCUACGGGAGGCAGCAGUGGGGAAUAUUGGACAAUGGGCGAAAGCCUGAUCCAGCAACGCCGCGUGAGGGAUGACGGCCUUCGGGUUGUAAACCUCUUUCAGCAGGGACGAAGCGCAAGUGACGGUACCUGCAGAAGAAGCACCGGCCAACUACGUGCCAGCCGCCGCCGUAACAC
rnacentral:rRNA from 1 species